rnacentral:rRNA from 1 species
GCUCAGUAACACGUGGCUAACCUACCCUCAGGACAGGGACAAACCCGGGAAACUGGGGCUAAUACCAGAUAGGCGAGGAUGCCUGGAAUGGUUUUUCGCUCAAAGGACCUUGGAAACAUGCUUUCAAGUCGCCUGAGGAUGGGGCCGCGUCCGAUCAGGUUGUUGGUGAGGUAAUGGCUCACCAAGCCUAUAACCGGUACGGGCCGUGAGAGCGGUAGCCCGGAGAUGGGUACUGAGACAAGGACCCAGGCCCUACGGGGCGCAGCAGUCGCGAAAACUCCGCAAUGCACGAAAGUGUGACGGGGCUACCCCGAGUGCUCUCCGCUGAGGAAAGCUUUUCUCUGGUGUAACAAGCCAGCGGAAUAAGGAGAGGGCAAGACUGGUGUCAGCCGCCGCGGUA